ensembl:lncRNA
CGAAGAUGGGCAAGAGAGGCUGGCUUCAGGUGGCAAACUUUAAGCAAAAGAAACACACAAGGGCGUGGAGACCUGGGGAAAAAGCAGCACUGAGAAAUCUACCCUCUGAAACUGACGAGGAUGGGCAACAGAGGCUACCUCAGGUGGCAAUCGUUAAGCAAAAGAAACACACAAGGGCGUGGAGACCUGGGGAAAAAGCAACACGGAGAAAUCCACCCUCUGAAACUGAGGAAGAUGGGCAAGAGAGGCUAGCUCAGGUGGCAAUCGUUAAGCAAAAACAAAACCCAAAGGCGUGGAGACCUGGGGAAAAAGCAACCCUGAAAUAUCUACCCUCUGAAACUGAGGAAGAUGGGCAAGAGAGGCUGGCUUCAGGUGGCAAACUUUAAGCAAAAGAAACACACAAGGGCGUGGAGACCUGGGGAAAAAGCAACACGGAGAAAUCCACCCUCUGAAACUGAGGAAGAUGGGCAAGAGAGGCUAGCUCAGGUGGCAAUCGUUAAGCAAAAGAAACACACAAGGGCGUGGAGACCUGGGGAAAAAGCCACACGGAGAAAUCCACCCUCUGAAACUGAAGAAGAUGGGCAACAGAGGCUAGCUCAGGUGGCAAUCUUUAAGCAAAAAAAAUAAAAUAAAAAAAUACAAUGGCGAGGAGACCCGGUCAAAAAGCAACCCUGAAAAAGGUACCCUCUGAAACUGAGGAAGCAGGGCAACAAUGCCUAGCUCAGGUGACAAUCUUUAAGCAAAAGAAACACACAAGGGCGUGGAGACCUGGGGAAAAAGCAACACGGAGAAAUCCACCCUCUGAAACUGAGGAAGAUGGGCAACAGAGGCUACCUCAGGUGGCAAUCGUUAAGCAAAAAAACCCAAAGUCGUGGAGACCUGGGGAAAAAGCAACCCUGAAAUAUCUACCCUCUGAAACUGAGGAAGAUGGGCAAAGAGGCUCGCUUCAGGUGGCAAACUUUAAACAAAAGAAACACACAAGGGCGUGGAGACCUGGGGAAAAAGCAACACUGAGAAAUCCACCCUCUGAAACUGAGGAAGAUGGGCAAGAGAGGCUAGCUCAGGUGGCAAUCGUUAAGCAAAAACAAAACCCAAAGGCGUGGAGACCUGGGGAAAAAAGCAACCCUGAAAUAUCUACCCUCUGAAACUGAGGAAGAUGGGCAAGAGAGGCUGGCUUCAGGUGGCAAACUUUAAGCAAAAGAAACACACAAGGGCGUGGAGACCUGGGGAAAAAGCAGCACUGAGAAAUCUACCCUCUGAAACUGACGAGGAUGGGCAACAGAGGCUACCUCAGGUGGCAAUCGUUAAGCAAAAGAAACACACAAGGGCGUGGAGACCUGGGGAAAAAGCAACACGGAGAAAUCCACCCUCUGAAACUGAGGAAGAAGAUGGGCAACAGAGGCUAGCUCAGGUGGCAAUCGUUAAGCAAAAACAAAACACAAAGGCGUGGAGACCUGGGGAAAAAGCAACCCUGAAAUAUCUACCCUCUGAAACUGAGGAAGAUGGGCAAGAGAGGCUGGCUUCAGGUGGCAAUCUUUAAGCAAAAGAAACACACAAGGGCGUGGAGACCUGGGGAAAAAGCAACACGGAGAAAUCCACCCUCUGAAACUGAGGAAGAUGGGCAAGAGAGGCUACCUCAGGUGGCAAUCCUUAAGCAAAAACAAAGCACAAAGGCGUGGAGCCCUGGGGACAAAGCAACCCUGAAAUAUCUACCCUCUGAAACUGAGGAACAUGGGCAAGAGAGGCUAGCUCAGGUGGCAAUCGUUAAGCAAAAACAAAACCCAAAGGCGUGGAGACCUGGGGAAAAAGCAACCCUGAAAUAUCUACCCUCUGAAACUGAGGAAGAUGGGCAAGAGAGGCUGGCUUCAGGUGGCAAACUUUAAGCAAAAGAAACACACAAGGGCGUGGAGACCUGGGGAAAAAGCAGCACUGAGAAAUCUACCCUCUGAAACCGAAGAAGAUGGGCAACAGAGGCUAGCUCAGGUGGCAAUCUUUAAGCAAAAAAAAUAAAAUAAAAAAAUACAAUGGCGAGGAGACCCGGUCAAAAAGCAACCCUGAAAAAGGUACCCUCUGAAACUGAGGAAGCAGGGCAACAGUGCCUAGCUCAGGUGACAAUCUUUAAGCAAAAAAAAAAAAAAAAAAAAAAAAAAAAAA